rnacentral:lncRNA from 1 species
AUGACACCCUCACGUACAGGAGGUUGGUCCUUCAGGACCCGCAGCCCCUCACACGGGCUCUGGGGCCGAAUGCUGAUGCGAGUCCCGCCAGCAUCCGCACGACCUGAGCCGCUGGCCCGGUCCGCAGAUCCCCUCUCUGCACGGAUCACUCCCGAUCUCGCUCACUCCUGCGAUCCCUCAAGCCGGGCAGCGCAGCCCUGGGCCUCUCCGAACCUUCCCCACGUUCCCGGCCUCCAUCACAGCAGCGCCGCGCCCGGGCCCCUCUGCGGGCCGUCUGGGUGUCAAGACCGCUUCUGGGCAGCCCCCACUUCUGCACACCACUUCCCUCCGCACUCACGCCCCAGGCCCCUCGGUUCCCUCGCCGGGACGCCCCUCGCCCAGCACCUCCGCCCAGCCCUUCCCGCGCCUCCUCGCGGUAAAUAUCCCUCCUCGGGCCCCCUUCCUCGCUCCUGCCUCCAUGCCAUGCCCCCUCGGCCCCUGGGCUCCCACACCUCACCCUUCCGAAUCCUGCCAUUGCCCCCCGCGGGCCCCCGCGAAUUCCCCCGCUCCCCUCACCCCACCCAUCUGCCUCAGACUCCUCCCCACAUCUCUCACACCCCAGGCCUCUCACCUCACUCAUUCUCCCAGGCCUCCCUGACACCCCUCACUUCUACCCCCCGAGCCCCCGUGCCGUCUGCUACACCCCGAGCCCCUCACCUCACUCAACUGCCCCGGGCCCCCGCGCGCGCCGCCGCCCCCUUCCGCCCUCCACUCACCCCGUGUCGGCCCCGCUCCCCUCUCCCCCACCAGGCGAGCAGGCGAGCGGGCAGAGCCCGCGGCGGAGGCCGGUCCCCGGGCCGGGACACACCCACUCGCCCGCCCUUCUUCUUUCCCUCCCUUCCUUUCUCCUUCCCUCCCUCUCUCCCGCCCUCCCGCCCUCGCUCGCUCCUUCCCCCUCGCCCUCCCGCUCCCGCUUCCAGCGGCGCCGGGCCUCCCGCUCCGCCUCCCCGUGCGCUGCUCUCCCGGGCGCGGCUCCGGGGUUCAUGGUGA